ACACGACUACAUUAGAUACCCCUGUAGUCCCAGCCCUAAACGAUGCGCGUUAGGUGUAUCGGUGACCACGAGUCACCGAGGUGCCGAAGGGAAACCGUGAAACGUGCCGCCUGGGAAGUACGGUCGCAAGGCUGAAACUUAAAGGAAUUGGCGGGGGAGCACCGCAACGGGAGGAGCGUGCGGUUUAAUUGGAUUCAACACCGUAAAACUCACCAGGGAAGACUGUUACAUGAAGGCCGAGAUGAAGACUCUGCUAGAUUUUCAG
rnacentral:rRNA from 1 species